GAAUUCGCCCUUAGAGUUUGAUCCUGGCUCAGAAUGAACGUUGGCGGCGUGGAUUAGGCAUGCAAGUCGCGCGAGAAAUUUCCUGCUUGCAGGAGAUGGAAAGCGGCGUAAGGGAGAGUAACGCGUGGAUUAUCUACCCAGGGGUCCGGAAUAGCUGUGGGAAACUGCAGGUAAUGCCGGAUAACAUCUUCGGAUCAAAGGUGUGAUUCCGCCCUUGGAGGAGUCCGCGUCCUACUAGCUUGUUGGUGAGGUAAUGGCUCACCAAGGCUUCGAUGGGUACCGGGUGUGAGAGCAUGGCCCGGCUCACUGGGACUGAGACACUGCCCAGACACCUACGGGUGGCUGCAGUCGAGAAUCUUCGGCAAUGGGCGCAAGCCUGACCGAGCGACGCCGCGUGCGGGAUGAAGGCCUUCGGGUUGUAAACCGCUGUCAGAGGGGAUGAAAUGCUAGAGGGUUCUCUCUCUAGUUUGACAUAGCCUCAGAGGAAGGGCGGGCUAAGUUCGUGCCAGCAGCCGCGGUAAGACGAACCGCCCAAACGUUAUUCGGAAUCACUGGGCUUAAAGGGUGCGUAGGCGGCACGGAAAGUUGGGUGUGAAAUCCCUCGGCUUAACCGAGGAACUGCGCCCAAAACUAUCGUGCUAGAGGGAGAUAGAGGUAAGCGGAACUGAUGGUGGAGCGGUGAAAUGCGUUGAUAUUAUCAGGAACACCGGUGGCGAA
rnacentral:rRNA from 1 species